rnacentral:rRNA from 1 species
AGAGUUUGAUCCUGGCUCAGGAUGAACGCUAGCUACAGGCUUAACACAUGCAAGUCGAGGGGAAACGAUAUUGGAAGCUUGCUUCCGAUAGGCGUCGACCGGCGCACGGGUGAGUAACGCGUAUCCAACCUGCCCAUCACUUGGGGAUAACCUUGCGAAAGUAAGACUAAUACCCAAUGAUAUCUCUAGAAGACAUCUGAAGGAGAUUAAAGAUUUAUCGGUGAUGGAUGGGGAUGCGUCUGAUUAGCUUGUUGGCGGGGUAACGGCCCACCAAGGCGACGAUCAGUAGGGGUUCUGAGAGGAAGGUCCCCCACAUUGGAACUGAGACACGGUCCAAACUCCUACGGGAGGCAGCAGUGAGGAAUAUUGGUCAAUGGGCGAGAGCCUGAACCAGCCAAGUAGCGUGCAGGAUGACGGCCCUAUGGGUUGUAAACUGCUUUUAUAAGGGAAUAAAGUGAGCCUCGUGAGGCUUUUUGCAUGUACCUUAUGAAUAAGGACCGGCUAAUUCCGUGCCAGCAGCCGCGGUAAUACGGAAGGUCCGGGCGUUAUCCGGAUUUAUUGGGUUUAAAGGGAGCGUAGGCCGGAGAUUAAGCGUGUUGUGAAAUGUAGAUGCUCAACAUCUGCACUGCAGCGCGAACUGGUUUCCUUGAGUACGCACAAAGUGGGCGGAAUUCGUGGUGUAGCGGUGAAAUGCUUAGAUAUCACGAAGAACUCCGAUUGCGAAGGCAGCUCACUGGAGCGCAACUGACGCUGAAGCUCGAAAGUGCGGGUAUCGAACAGGAUUAGAUACCCUGGUAGUCCGCACGGUAAACGAUGGAUGCCCGCUGUUGGUCUGAAUAGGUCAGCGGCCAAGCGAAAGCAUUAAGCAUCCCACCUGGGGAGUACGCCGGCAACGGUGAAACUCAAAGGAAUUGACGGGGGCCCGCACAAGCGGAGGAACAUGUGGUUUAA